AAUUUUAAUUUUGAUAAAUUAAUUUUGUGAGUAGCUAAUAUAGUUGGUUCUUUUUAAGGCUAAAAGCCUGUUGGAGAAUUAGGUUAACAAACGGUGACGGUGAAGAUCAUUGCAGGUUUCAGUGCUGGCUGAGAUGGGUUGCUGAGGUUGUGUAACUGUGUCUAGAGGGGCGGGGUUCCUGUACAUUCCUACUUCAGCAGAUAACCCUGUCCCCAGCCAUACUCCAGCUUCUCCCAGACAGACGGAAAUCUCCAGAGGAAAAUCUGCACAGCCCUUCUAAGAAGCAGGGUUCUGCUCGAUGUUAUCGGAAGGCUGCUGAGGACUUAAGAACUGUGAACACUCUCACCAGGAGAUCGAGCUUUACUCCUCCUUGGUACAAGGAAAGUUGGCAUGACCAUCCACUUCACAUCCGCCAGUGUGCUGACACCAAGCAGAAAAUUCCAAGUAAAGAGCAGACUCCGUGUAGUCACAUGUCCCUGGAGAAAAUUGCUUCAUCAUUCUUCAGAAAGGAAAAAAAAAGUAGAUUCCCUUCAGAAUCCUCUAGUCUUAGAAUGACUAGGUAGAAUUUUAUGCUUAUUUAGAUCUCUUCCAUGCCUAAAUUUUGGGGCAUCUUCCCAUUUUCUAGUUCCAUAAAUAAAAGUAAAAUGUUACUAAAUGAAUACAAUUAUUUUGGUCUCAGUGAAUCAGUUGAGGCUUGACUGAACCAGCCCAAGUUUGGGGAGCUGCAUGGGACUCUAAUGUACCAUAUCAUUGCAUUUACUACCUCCUGAUGAUGUGGGGUUUAUGUGUGGGUCAAAACUUCUCUCCAGUUUUGUCUAAUUGGAAAACAGAAUAAAGAUGAUGUUUCAAUGGACUUUGAUCUUAUAA
ensembl:lincRNA 3110039M20Rik RIKEN cDNA 3110039M20 gene